AGUCCCCGCGCAUCUCUGUGGCAGCUGCCCAGUGCUUCUCGCCCCGCCGCGCCCGCCCACCCAACGGCGCUGUGUCCAGUUCUAGAGACUAGAAGUCCAAAAUCAAGUGUGAGCUGGGCUGCACUCCCUCUGAGACUCAGGAGAAUUCUUCCUUGCCCUUUCCUCACUUGUGGAGGUGACUGGUAAUCCCGGACAUGCACUGGUUUACUGCUGCACCACUACUUUGCUUCUGCUGUCAUAUGGCACACGACAAUGGAGACUCUGAGAACAUCCAGAAAUAUCCAUAGGACUGGAGAGGCUGUGGGCUUUCAACCACCAUGAGGGGCUGUUUGCAUAUGAUUCUUCUAAAAUUGACAUCAGUGAAAUGCCUUGAAGAUAAUAAAGUGUUGAAGAAAUAAACAAAA